rnacentral:misc_RNA from 1 species
AAGUCGUAACAAGGUUUCCGUAGGUGAACCUGCGGAAGGAUCAUUAACACGUAUCCACGUUAAACCAACCGUGCACUUUCAAUUAUGCGUUGUUUUUGAGCUCGAGGUCAGUUCGCUUUCCAAGAGUUCGAAGACGAUUCGUUUCGGCUCGGCACGUGUCGUGAAGUUGGUGCUUGCACCGGCGAUGGAUGCCACCUCUGACGAGAGUGAAACUGGAAGGGUACGUAACUCGACAGUUUCGACGUGGGGCUGGAAAACUCGAUUUAUUUCAAAGGACGAUCCGUUCUGGACCGGAUCGAAAUUUGUGGUAAUGAGAGGGUUCUGGAACCCCCUUAAAAAAAUUGACAUCCGAGACCUCAGGGUAAAACCGAGGCUCGAGCAACCGAACAACUGUUAACAAUGGAUAUCUUGGUUCUC